AUACGUAGGGGGCGAGCGUUGUCCGGAAUUACUGGGUGUAAAGGGCGUGUAGGCGGGAUAUCAAGUUAUUGGUAAAAACCCGGGGCUUAACCUCGGGCUUGCCGAUAAAACUGGUAUUCUUGAGUGCAGGAGAGGGAAGUGGAAUUCCCGGAGUAGCGGUGACAUGCGUAGAUACCGGGAGGAACACCAGUGGCGAAGGCGGCUUCCUGGCCUGCAACUGACGCUGAGGCGCGAAAGCUGGGGUAGCGAACGGGAUUAGAUACCCCGGUAGUCCCAGCCGUAAACGAUGGUCACUAGGUGUGGGUGGUGGUCAAGCCAUCCGUGCCGGAGCUAACGCAAUAAGUGACCCACCUGGGGAGUACGGCCGCAAGGCUAAA
rnacentral:rRNA from 1 species